rnacentral:misc_RNA from 1 species
UACGUAGGGGGCAAGCGUUGUCCGGAAUUAUUGGGCGUAAAGGGCGUGUAGGCGGUUUCUUAAGUCUGAUGUGAAAGCCCACAGCUUAACUGUGGAGGGUCAUUGGAAACUGGGGAACUUGAGUGCAGAAGAGGAGAGUGGAAUUCCACGUGUAGCGGUGAAAUGCGUAGAUAUGUGGAGGAACACCAGUGGCGAAGGCGACUCUCUGGUCUGUAACUGACGCUGAGGCGCGAAAGCGUGGGGAGCAAACAGG